rnacentral:rRNA from 1 species
CCGGCACGGUGAGUAACACGUAUGCAAUCCACCUGUAACAGGGGAUAACCCGGAGAAAUCCGGACUAAUACCCCAUAAUAUGGGCGCUCCGCAUGGAGAGCCCAUUAAAGAGAGCAAUUUUGGUUACAGACGAGCAUGCGCUCCAUUAGCCAGUUGGCGGGGUAACGGCCCACCAAAGCGACGAUGGAUAGGGGUUCUGAGAGGAAGGUCCCCCACAUUGGAACUGAGACACGGUCCAA